CAGGUGUGCCUUCGGGAACUCUGAGACAGGUGCUGCAUGGCUGUCGUCAGCUCGUGUUGUGAAAUGUUGGGUUAAGUCCCGCAACGAGCGCAACCCUUAUCCUUGUUUGCCAGCGAGUAAUGUCGGGAACUCCAGGGAGACUGCCGGUGAUAAACCGGAGGAAGGUGGGGACGACGUCAAGUCAUCAUGGCCCUUACGAGUAGGGCUACACACGUGCUACAAUGGCGCAUACAGAGGGCAGCCAACUUGCGAAAGUGAGCGAAUCCCAAAAAGUGCGUCGUAGUCCGGAUUGGAGUCUGCAACUCGACUCCAUGAAGUCGGAAUCGCUAGUAAUCGUAGAUCAGAAUGCUACGGUGAAUACGUUCCCGGGCCUUGUACACACCGCCCGUCACACCAUGGGAGUGGGCUGCAAAAGAAGUGGGUAGUUUAACCUUCGGGAGGACGCUCACCACUUUGUGGUUCAUGACUGGGGUGAAGUCGUAACAAGGUAGCCCUAGGGGAACCUGGGGCUGGAUCACCUCCUUA
rnacentral:ncRNA from 1 species